AACGAACGCUGGCGGCAGGCCUAACACAUGCAAGUCGAGCGGGACCUUCGGGUCUAGCGGCGGACGGGUUAGUAACGCGUGGGAACGUGCCCUUCUCUGCGGAAUAGCCACUGGAAACGGUGAGUAAUACCGCAUACGCCCUUCGGGGGAAAGAUUUAUCGGAGAAGGAUCGGCCCGCGUUAGAUUAGAUAGUUGGUGGGUAACGGCCUACCAAGUCUACGAUCUAUAGCUGGUUUUAGAGGAUGAUCAGCAACACUGGGACUGAGACACGGCCCAGACUCCUACGGGAGGCAGCAGUGGGGAAUCUUAGACAAUGGGCGCAAGCCUGAUCUAGCCAUGCCGCGUGUGUGAUGAAGGUCUUAGGAUCGUAAAGCACUUUCGCCAGGGAUGAUAAUGACAGUACCUGGUAAAGAAACCCCGGCUAACUCCGUG
rnacentral:rRNA from 1 species